UACAGAGGGUGCAAGCGUUAAUCGGAAUUACUGGGCGUAAAGCGUGCGUAGACGGUUACAUAAGUCGGGUGUGAAAGCCCCGGGCUCAACCUGGGAAUUGCAUUCGAGACUGCGUAGCUAGGGUGCGGAAGAGGGAAGCGGAAUUUCCGGUGUAGCGGUGAAAUGCGUAGAUAUCGGAAGGAACGCCCGUGGCGAAAGCGAGGUCCUGGACGCCUACUGACGCUGAGACGCGAAAGCCAGGGGAGCGAACGGGG
rnacentral:rRNA from 1 species